AGUCAAUAGUAUAAUAGCGGAACUCAUGCCGUUCGGUAGCGUUUGAUUCGAAUAUAAAUAAGAACUAGUUAUUACAAAGAUAAAUACAAAUAUGAGAAUAAGAAAAAUAACGUUCGGAUAAAAAUUAGAUUAUUUUCGGGAAUAAAAAAAAUAGUCUUUGAAUAGAUAAUAUGGAAUAAGAAAAAUAGUGUUUGGAUAGAUAAUAUGGAAUAAGAAAAAUAGUGGGUAGUAAUAUAUAGAAAAUGGAGGUGUUGGUAGGGAUAGUUAUAUAUAUAAUAACCGAGAACUACUAUUCUCGGAUAAAAAAUUAGCAUUUGGAUAUAAAAAAGAGGAUAAGGGCCUAUUGAUGUUAAGUAGAAUUUUUUAUUAAAUUUUUAUCUAAUUUGGAUACUUUUAUAACUUAAAAACGUGCCACAUCGGCCGUUAAAAUAGUCAUUUUUGAGACCUUUUGAUCGCUUGGUAAAUGAUGUCAAAAAAUUAUAAAAUUUGGCUUCUAAAUAGUUCCAAUAGGGUAGAUUAUAUUUAACGGAGCUGAUCGUCGAAUCGGAUUUUCAAUUAUCGAAAACAACUUACAAGCACGAAAGUCUCCGUACUUUCGAAAGUACGGAAGACUUACUAUAUAUAUAUAUAUAUAUAUAUAGAAAAAUGUUACUAUACUAUUAAUAGCACAAGUCAUUGGUGCUAUUAGAUUUUCAAUGCUUGGAUUAAGAUAUAUGAGUUAAGAUGAUAAUGGCCCCUUAAAAUUGAGUGGGUGGUUAGUUAAAUAAUACGUUCUAUAAGAUGAAAACGAUUAAAAGAAUAAAUUUAACAACGAAAAAUUUGACAGCAAUAAGCAGUUAAGCACCACUCAUAUAAA
rnacentral:lncRNA from 1 species